AGUGAACGCUGGCGGUAGGCCUAACACAUGCAAGUCGAACGGCAGCACAGUAAGAGCUUGCUCUUACGGGUGGCGAGUGGCGGACGUGUGAGGAAUACAUCGGAAUCUUCUUUUUCGUGUGGGAUAACGUAGGGAAACUUACGCUAAUACCGCAUACGACCUACGGGUGAAAGCAGGGGAUCUUCGGACCUUGCGCGAUUGAAUGAGCCGAUGUCGGAUUAGCUAGUUGGCGGGGUAAAUGCCCACCAAGGCGACGAUCCGUAGCUGGUCUGAGAGGAUGAUAAGCCACACUGGAACUGAGACACGGUCAAGACGACUAAGGGAGGCAGCAGUGGGGAAUAUUGGACAAUGGGCGCAAGCCUGAUCCAGCCAUACCGCGUGGGUGAAGAAGGCCUUCGGGUUGUAAAGACCUUUUGUUGGGAAAGAAAAGCAGCAGGUUAAUACCCAGCUGUUCUGACGGUACCCAAAGAAUAAGCACCGGCUAACUUCGUG
rnacentral:rRNA from 1 species